UUUUUUCUAUAUCUGAUCCUUCUAUAUGUAACUAGAAUGUCCUCAGUUUGAGUAUUUUGUGUACAAAUGGACUGAAGCCUCCUUUUGUGAUAUCCAUCACCGCACCAACUUGAUACAAACCAUCCUUGCAAUAUGGAUGAGUAUGCAUUAUAGAGGAUCAUGUUUUUCUUGUGCUAUUACGAUGGAAUAGUUUGCUUUUGUGAAUCUAUUGAUGGCGAUGCUUGGAUUUUAGAAGCAUAAUUUUAGUUUUGAG
rnacentral:misc_RNA from 1 species